rnacentral:rRNA from 1 species
ACGAACGCUGGCGGCGUGCUUAACCCAUGCAAGUCGCACGGAAAGGCCCUGCUUUUGUGGGGUGCUCGAGUGGCGAACGGGUGAGUAACACGUGAGUAACCUGCCCUUGACUUUGGGAUGACUUCAGGAAACUGGGGCUAAUACCGGAUAGGAGCUCCUGCUGCAUGGUGGGGGUUGGAAAGUUUCGGCGGCUGGGGAUGGACUUGCGGCUUAUCAGCUUGUUGGUGGGGUAGUGGCUUACCAAGGCUUUGACGGGUAGCCGGCCUGAGAGGGUGACCGGCCACAUUGGGACUGAGAUACGGCCCAGACUCCUACGGGAGGCAGCAGUGGGGAAUAUUGCACAAUGGGCGGAAGCCUGAUGCAGCAACGCCGCGUGCGGGAUGACGGCCUUCGGGUUGUAAACCGCUUUCGCCUGUGACGAAGCGUGAGUGACGGUAAUGGGUAAAGAAGCACCGGCUAACUACGUG